UUCUGAUCGGCAAGCCCUAGGCUCUGUGGUUUAGACAUUGACAUUACACAGCUCUAAAAACCACUAAAUAAAUAAAUAAAACCUAAUGUGAUCCUGGAACGUCCCUCUUUUCCUUAGGAUAUCCCUAUUUCCAUGGGAGAACUGUUGGAAGGGACGCCUCCAUUUUCACUGGAGAAUUGUUGGAGGGUAUGGAAUAGGACGUUCCUGUUUUCAUCAGAGAAAUGUUGGAGGCAGGGCUUUCUUUCAGCCGGGACUCACCAGACCUGAGUUCUGGCACCUCUCAGGUGAGCGCCAUUGCCAUUACAGUGGUAAAAAGGUAAAGGUAAAGGUACCCCUGCCCGUACGGGCCAGUCGUGUCCAACUCUGGGGUUGCGCGCCCAUCUCGCUUAAGAGGCCGGGGGCCAGCGCUGUCCGAAGACACUUCCGGGUCACGUGGCCAGCGUGACAAGCUGCAUCUGGCGAGCCAGCGCAGCACACGGAAACGCCGUUUACCUUCCCGCUAGUAAGCGGUCCCUAUUUAUCUACUUGCACCCAGGGGUGCUUUCGAACUGCUAGGUUGGCAGGGGCUGGGACCGAGCAACGGGAGCACACCCCGCCGCAGGGAUUCGAACUGCCGACCUGACGAUCGGCAAGUCCUAGGCGCUGAGGUUUAACCCACAGUGCCACCCACAUCCCUUCUCACUGGUAAGCCGUCCCUAUUUAUCUACUUGCACCCGGGGGUGCUUUCGAACUGCUAGGUUGGCAGGCGCUGGGACCAAACAACGGGAGCGCACCCCGCCGCAGGGAUUUGAACCGCCGACCUUUCGAUCAGCAAGCCCUAGGCGCUGAGGCUUUUACCCACAGCGCCACCCGCGUCCCUAUUACAGUGGUACCUCAGGUUAAAUACUUAAUUCGUUCCGGAGGUCCGUACUUAACCUGAAACUGUUCUUAACCUGAAGCACCACUUUAGCUAAUGGGGCCUCCUGCUGCUGCCGCGCCACCAAAGCACGAUUUCUGUUCUCAUCCUGAAGCAAAGUUCUUAACCUGAAGCACUAUUUCUGGGUUAGCGGAGUCUGUAACCUGAAGCGUAUGUAACCUGAAGCGUAUGUAACCUGAGGUACCACUGUAUAAGAGAACAAGGGUUUGUAGUGCAUUCUGGCACCUCUUUUUCUAGAAAAAAUAUCACUGCUUGGAGGGUAUGGCACGCGUACAGAGAUUUGUUCAAAGGCAGAGUGUAUACAAGAGAAAGAGGCAGUGCCUGUAUUCCUUUUGCACGGCCCUUUAGUGAAACCACAAACCACCAUGUCUCCCGCAGCCUUUACAAACACGCUGCCUGUGUCAGCCUCUGUCCCCCGUGAUUCUGCUGAGCUGAGAAAUAUUGCUUCCCCAGAACAACAAUGGCAGGCAUGCCAAACGCCCACAACCUACUCUUUAAAUGCUGCUGUUUAGUGCCUGAGGCACAAAAUCAAUAUCCCCAGCAAUGUGGAACAAAGUAGUGGUGGCCUCAAUGUCAGGCAUCUUCCCCACUCCACCAGUGAGGGUCAACUGCCCGGUAUUUGCAGCCAGGGAAGGAAAAGCUGAAAGACUGUCAGCAAGCAAAAGGGAAAGAAACUCGGCAUUUAAACUUUGGGGGUCUGCUGCACUCUGCACAUGCACAGAAGCCCUCUGGUGUCAGGGCAGGUAAACAAAGGCUUGUUUAAUAAAUAUUCUAAAGAUAGUGGGUUCUUGCACUGAAUUCCCCUCCCCCCAGUAUGGCUGAUAAAGGUAAAGGUAAAGGGACCCCUGACCAUUAGGUCCAGUCGUGACCGACUCUGGGGUUGCGGCACUCAUCUCGCUUUAUUGGCCAAGGGAGCCGGCGUACAGCUUCCAGGUCAUGUGGCCAGCAUGACUAAGCCCCUUCUGGCGAACCAGAGCAGCGCACGGAAACGCCGUUUACCUUCCCGCCGGCGUGGUACCUAUUUAUCUACUUGCACUUGACGUGCUUUCGAAGUGCUAGGUUGGCAGGAGCAGGGGCCGAGCAACGGGAGCUCACCCCAUCGCGGGGAUUCGAACCACCAACCUUUUGAUCGGCAAGUCCUAGGCUCUGUGGUUUAACCCACAGCUCCACCCGCGUCCCUAGUAAGGCUGAUAGCCACGUUCAAUUAUCUAAAGGACCGUUACAAGGAAGAUGGAGCAAGCUUGUUUUCUCCUACUCCAGAGGAGCCAAUGGAUUCAAGUUACAAGAAAGGAGAUUCCGACUAAUCGCCAGGAAGAACUUUCUGCCGGUAAGAAGUGUUUGACAGUGGAAUGGAUUCCCUUGGGAACUGGUGGGCUCUCCUUUCUUGAAAGUUUUUGAGCAGAGGCUGGAUGGGCAUGGUCAUGGAUGCUUUAGCUGAGAUUCCUGCAUCUCAGGGGGUUGGACUGGAUAGCCCUCGGGGUCUCUUCCAACUCUACAAUUCUAUGAUAGUAUGAUAGGUAAAGGUAAAGGGACCCCUGAUCGUUAGGUCCAGUCGUGGAUGACUCUGGGGUUGCAGCGCUCAUCUCGCUUUAUUGGCCGAGGCAGCCGGCGUACAGCUUCUGGGUCAUGUGGCCAGACCCAGAGCAGCGCACAGAAACGCCAUUUACCUUCCCGCCGUAGCGGUACCUAUAUAUAAACUUCGUGCUUUUGAACUGCUAGGUUGGCAGGAGCAGGGACCGAGCAAGGGGAGCUCACCCCGUUGCGGGGAUUUGAACCGCCGACCUUCUGAUCGUCAAGUCCUAGGCUCUGUGGUUUAACCCACAGUGCCACCCGCGUCCCUAUGACAGUAUGAUAGUCCUGGAUUAAUAAAGCGAGAUGAGCGCCGCAACCCCAGAGUCGGCCACGACUGGACCUAAUGGUCAGUGGUCCCUUUACCUUUACCUUUUAUGGCCACUGCGCUAAGAGACAAUUUCCUGGCCUGCUCUGGAAACGACAUGCUCCUAAUGUACUUGGAGGGUCUGUGAUUUAGACCUUCUGAUAUCAACCUGUACAAUAAUGAAUAACACAGCGUAUCAAAAACAUUGAUGUCCUAAAAGACUUUGUGUAUUUCAAAUAGACUUUCAACAGUAUUCCAACAACUAGAUCGUAUAUGCUUUGUUUGACAGACUAAGCCAAGCAUUGUUUUUGUUGGGUGUAGUGAAGGGUUAACCUUCUGUGUCUCGAGGCUGAGAGGAGGCGCUUACAAGGGAAGUAAGCCAGGACAUGACGAAAGCAGCUUGGAAUGCUGUGAGCUGAGUGAAAAGUGAAAGCAGCUUUGCUACGCUGCAAGCUGAGAGAGAAGGACGCAGAGAAAAAUGCAGCUUGAAUCAGAUGGUGUGUAUGGAUUGUAAAUAUGCUACUUUUGAGCAAAUAAAGUGCUACUAGAACAGAAGAAACGUGUGGGACUUGUUUUACUGCCCUUUCAACACGGACGCUGUGCAAUUCUCCUAAUUGCUUUAUGACCUGCAGAGGCUCGCAGGGGGAAGUGUGCUGGACGCCAAGAAUAAAGCAAUAAAUCUACCUAACAGUUUUUAUAUGUGAUUGGGUCUUGCCUGGAUAGCUCAGUUAUUUAGAGCAUGGGUAGGCAAACUAAGGCCAGAUCCUGCCCAAUCGCCUUCUCAGUCUGGCCCACAGACGGUCCAGGAAUCAGCUUGUUUUUACAUGAGUAGAAUGUGUCCUUUUAUUUAAAAUGCAUCUCUGGGUUAUUUGUGGGGCCUGCCUGGUGUUUUUACAUGAGCAGAAUGUGUGCUUUUAUUUAAAAUGUAUCUCUGGGUUAUUUGUGGAGCAUAGGAAUUUGUUCAUUAUUAUUUUUUUCAAAAUAUAGUCCGCCCGCCCCCCCACAAGGUCUGAGGGACAGUGGACCGGCCCCCUGCUGAAAAAGGUUGCUGACCCCUGAUUUAGAGCACGGUGCUGAAAACGCCACGGUUGCAGAUUCGAUCCCUAUCUGCAUAUUCCUGCAUUGCAGGGGUUGGACUAGAUGAUCCUCAGGGUCCCUUCCAACUUUACAAUUCUAUGAUUCUGUUUCUGACUGUUGGAGUCAAGGGGUGGAUAUAGACAGGGGACAACGACAGUAUAAAUAAGUCAGAAAUUAGAUUGUUAUAACAAAAGAAAAAUUUUCUAUGGUAAAUCGUGUUUAAAAAAAUUCUGCUGUCUUGCGCCAUCUGGUGUCAUAUGUUUAUAGUGCAUUCAAAUAGCUUUUUUUUUUUUAACUAACGUACCUGAGUUUGAGAUGGCAGAACAUAAAAAAGCAGCAGCAGCAGCAGCAACAAAAAGUUUAGUGGUGAAAGAUGACCAGCACAAUUGCCAUGUCCACAUGCUCCCAUUGAAAGGUGUGCUAACAUUACUACUUCAAAGUGCGAGAAGUUGCUCCCUCCAUGUGUUCUCCCCCUCCCCCCAGCUGCUCACAUCAGCAUGGGUUCAGUGUGUUUCUGUUUGGGCUCACAUCAAGAGGCAUUGACUGGCAGGGAUGUCCUGAUUCUUCGCAAAGGUGUUUACAUUUUGUUUUUUUGCUGGUUAGUGUGGCGGUUGAAUCAUAGCUGUCAACUUACAGAUUUGAAAAUAAGGGACCAGCAGCCUCGAAAAUAAGGGAUCAACAGCCAAAAUAAGGGAUUUUCCAAGCACAGGUAUGUUCGACUUCUGAGCCCCUCCGAGCCAAAGGCAGAAAGCCCAGCCAGCAGCCAAAUGAAGCCUCAAGCAGUGGUUCCCACAGCGCAGCAACCCGGCAAAGCGGAUGCAGCAAGGAAAACCACCAUCACCUCUCCGCUGGGAAGCGCUGAGCAAAGGCAAGUCCCCAGGCAACGAGGCCAAUUUGAUCGGCACAAGGCAUGCAAGCUCCACCCCCCAGUCGUUCUUAGACUCCUUAUUGGGUGAGCAACGCAGCCAAGCAACACAGUUGGAGCCUCCCUCCUCCCUGGCCAGCAGGGAGGGAGGGAGAGGAGCUGCUUCCUUUGAAACCCGGGAAAUUUAAGGGACAUCAUCAAUAAGGGACAGCAGCGGGACACGGCGCUGGGAUAAGGGAGUUUCCCACCAAAUAAGGGACGGUUGACAGCUAUGGGUUGAAUAUGGCCAAUAUCCUGUAGCAUCUCAUGGGGAGAUUGAGCUGGAAUCAGCCAAGCUAAGAGGACAAGGAGAACUUCCACAGACCAGAAGGACCAUUUUAAUAAUAAUAAUAAUAAUAAUAAAUUUUAUAAUGAACGAUUUUAGAGUGUUGUUUAUGCUAUACUUUUAUACUGUUUUAUUGUUGUUAGCCGCCCUGAGCCCGGCUUCAGCUGGGGAGGGCGGGAUAUAAAUAAAAUUUAUUUUUAUUAUUAUUAUUAUUAUUAAUUUAUUAUUUAUACCCCGUCCAUCUGGCUGCCCCCCCCCCCCAGCCACUCUGGGCAGCUUUCAACAGAAUAUUAAAAUACAAUAGUCUAUCAAGCAUUAAAGGCUUCCCUAAACAGGGCUGCCUUCAGAUGUCUUCUAAAAGUCUGGUAGUUGUUUUUCUCUUUCACAUCUGGUGAGAGUGCGUUCCACAGGGUAGGUGCCACUACUGAGAAGGCCCUCUGCCUGGUUCCCUGUAACCUCACUUCUCGCAGGGAGGGAACCGCCAGAAGGCCCUCGGAGCUGGACCUCAGUGUCCGGGAUGGACGAUGGGGGUGGAGACGCUCCUUCAGGUAUGUUGCAGGAACCCCCCCCCCCGCCCAAUCAUUCAGUUUGUACAAACAUUACACACACAUACACUCACACACGACAUACACGUUUCUCUUAUAAAUUCAUAGUAAAUCAACCGUACAUCGGAUUUACACCGGUCUGCUUUUAUUUUGCUCCAUGAAGGAAGCACUAUCAAAGGGGGAUGGUUUGAUACAGGACGGCCAUAAUCCCUUAACCAUACCAACACGUACUCAGAAGCCCUGCCCAGUUGGCAUGGCAACCUUGAUGGUCCCAGACAGAAGACCAUCAAGGACACAACGGACUUGCAUAUGGGAGUGGAUUCAAUACGGACUGGAACAAAGGACAAUGAUCAGAUCUUUCCUCUGGGGGCAGGAAACUCCCAACUCCCCUUUGUCCUCUGGAAAUGACUCAUGGGGAGGGGGAAAGGAGGAACCAGCCAGGUGACAAGAUACUCAGGUUACUUCCACAACCCCUCCCUCAACUCCUCCUUUUUGUGAUGUGUCAGUGAUGUAGUCAUGAUGUAGUUGUGAUGUAGUUCUAGGGGUGUAGCUUGGGGGAUUAGUAGCUAAUAAAAGUUGGGGUCUUCUUUUGUUCGGGACUUCCAUCUUGCUUCAUCUUGUUGUGGGUGGGAGUCCUGUCGCGACAGUUUCCAAUAAAGGCCAAGCCUACAGGCUGCUGUUUUGCUCCAAAUUGUCCUGGUUGGUGUCCUUGUCUUUUUGUCCAAGGGAGCCCUCGGAUUCCUCCAUUAACAGGUAUAUUGGACCGAGGCCAUUUAGGGCUUUAAAGGUCAGGACCAACACUUUGAAUUGUGCUCAGAAACGGACAGGGAGCCAGUGUAGGUCUGUUGCUUGCCACACUUUAGCAACAUGGACCAUAAAGAAGGCUGAUCGCCGAAGAAUUGAUGCUUUUGAAUUAUGGUGCUGGAGGAGACUCUUGAGAGUCCCAUGGACUGCAAGAAGAUCAAACCUAUCCAUUCUUAAGGAAAUCAGCCCUGAGUGCUCACAGGUCGUGAAGCUGAGGCUCCAAUACUUUGGCCACCUCAUGAGAAGAGAAGACUCCCUGGAAAAGACCCUGAUGUUGGGAAAGAUGGAGGGCACAAGGAGAAGGGGACGACGGAGGACGAGAUGGUUGGACAGUGUUCUCGAAGCUACCAACAUGAGUUUGACCAAACUGCGGGAGGCAGUGGAAGACAGGAGUGCCUGGCGUGCUCUGGUCCAUGGGGUCAUGAAGAGUCAGACACGACUAAAUGACUAAACAACAACAACAACUUUAGCAACACCUCAGCUCCUUCCUUUCAGUCCGUGGGUCUAUCAAAUCUCCAACUCUGCUCAAUUUCCAUGUGAACUCGGUGCACAUGAACUGCCGCCAGCACUAACACAGCAAACACGGAUCCCUUCGAUCAAGCUGGCGCAGCAAAAAGCAAGGAAUGACAUUGGAAUGACUUUGAAGAAAGGAAAUGGAAUGGCACCUCAAAGCUUUCAGUGGUCCCUACAUAUGGCAACAGCCCAGUUGCCUCCAUACCACCCGUUUCCCAGUUUGCAAUGAUCAAGGUGCCCCCCCCCCCCCGAUUUGCAAAUGUGUCAAUCCAGCACAAACGUCGAGGCUCAUUGGUGGGAGAAUGUGAGUGUCAGAAAGGUGCCAAUAGACAUUUCUUGGCUCCCUCAAGGAAAUAAAGGCCAUCGCUGAGACUGUCAAAAUGAUUAAUAGCUUAUGGAGUGUGGGAGGGAAAGAAAUGGAAAGGAAGGCGAGGAAAACAAAAUGGGGGGGGUGGACAGCAGAUGGGAGAUCUAUAAAUAAACAGAGAGUUAAAUAAAUGCGGUAUUAUCUCAGUGCAGAGAUGAGAAGGAGAUCAACAGCAAAAUGAAGGCAACUUUAUUUUGCCAAGGCAGUGGAGUAAGAUAAGAAAAGGUAUAACAGCAGAUUUGGCCUGGUGUCUUUAAAAAAAAAAAAAGGAAAUUGAAGUUAAUGUGAGGGAAUAGUGGGCUUUCCCCACAACCCACCCUACCUGUGUUUCAGCACCUGCUUAAUCAGAGAUAAUGGUGAGACUAAAAAAACCCCAAUAUGCAGACCACCGCUGUUAGCUCUUAAGAACUAGGGUCUGUCUCCAGCUAGACACAGCUGUAACAGGAGGGGAUCCUAACCAAAGCCCAGGUGGACUCUUCUUAAAGCAGCAGACUACAGUGGUACCUUGGUUCUCAAACGCCUUGGUACUCAAACAACUUGGAACCCAAACACUGCAAACCCAGAAGUAAGUGUUCCGGUUUGCGAACAUUUUUCAGAAGCCAAACGUGCUCCAUUUUGAGUGUUACGCUUCCGAUUUGAGUGUCACACUUCCGUUUUGAGUGUGACGCUGAGGUCUGUCUGUUUUUGCUAUUUAUUUUGCGUUCUUGUUGCCUCUUUUUGUUUUGUUUUUGUGACUGUGUGGAAUCCAGUUCAGCUACUGAUUGAUUGAUUGAUUGAUUGAUUGAGUGACUGCAGCACAUUGUUUAUUGCUUUCAUUUUAUGUAUCAAUGGUCUCGUUAAAUAGUGAAAUUCAUGUUAAAUUGCUGUUUUAGGGGUGGUUUUUAAAAGUCUGGAACGGAUUAAUCCGUUUUGCAUUACUUUCUAUGGGAAAGCGCGCCUUGGUUUUGGAACGCUUUGGUUUGGGAACAGACUUCCGGAACGGAUUAAGUUUGAGAACCAAGGUACCACUGUAAUAUGCAGUUGAAAAGGUUGACAAUAAGACCUAUGGAGGGGUUCGUGGGAAGUCUGGAGAUUCAGAGAAAUCUCUAAAUGUGGAUAUUGGUAUUGUUAUAACUCUACGUUUGUAAUAUCAAAUAAAAAUUAUUUUUUUAAAAAAAAAUAGCUCAGAAACUUCAUUCUUUUUUGUGAUUUUGCCACAGAUUGCUCAACAACUUUGGGCAAAACUAAAAAAUGCUCAGCAACUUUUUUUUUACUUUUCAAAAUAUGGCAACCAUAUACCUAUUUCCUAUUACCGCUGGGCAAUGACAGAGGUUAAGAAAAUAAAAGCCUGGAUAUUAUAAUUUACAGACAAAAGAGUGUUGGUUAGAUUGGAAGCCCAUUGGCCAGAGCCUGGUUUUCUAAUCUGUUUUCACGGUGACUAGUGUUUUAUGCACUUCACAAGUACUAAAAUAACAACAUAUAAAAUAUAAAUAACUAUUUUUAAUAUUUGUUUUCUCAAUGAGCUGCCUCUUUUACAUGGUCCCUAUUAAAAUAAAUCACACAGAGAAGGGCAAUCUUGCUGUCCAAUCCAAGAUGAUCCUUGCUACACUGGAACCUGGCUUAUUUGUCUAAAAGCGUCUCUUAGCUCAAAAAUGGAAACAACAGGAAUUACCAACGAUUGUAGAGUGGCAGAUGAAGAUGAUGGAAUAUGCAGAAUUUGCAAAGCUGGCUGGGAAAAUCCGAAACCAGCACCAUCAAGCUUUCCAAAAAGACUGGGGUAAAUUUGUACAAUAUUUGAAGGACAAUUGCAAACAAUUAACAACACUAGCAGGAUUCAUUUAAAAACACUUGUAACGAUUAUGACUCAUACCUUUUUAUAUUUAUUUAAAAACUCGAUAAUUGAAUUGAAGCAAGAUAAGCAGGAAAAGAUAAAAUGCUAUGACAUAGAAAGGAAGUAUGGUAAAAGGAAGGCGGGAGAGAGGGAAGUCGAACAAAAAGUACAGUGGUACCUCAGGUUAAGUACUUAAUUCGUUCUGGAGGUCCGUUCUUAACCUGAAACUGUUCUUAACCUGAAGCACCACUUUAGCUAAUGGGGCCUCUUGCUGCCGCUGUGCCGCCGGAGCAUGAUUUCUGUUCUCAUCCUGAAGCAAAGUUCUUAACUCGAGGUACUAUUUCUGGGUUAGCGGAGUCUGUAACCGGAAGCGUAUGUAACCUGAAGCGUAUGUAACCCGAGGUACUACUGUACUGUGAAAAACAAGGAUGCAUUUAAAUGUUAUAAAAUGGAAAUUUAAUAAAAUAUGAUUAAAACAAAAACAACCUGGCUUAUUCAUAUACCUUGCUUUCCCAGAAGCAUUGUCAAACCAUAAUAGUCACAGAGAAAGAGUAAUCAUAGCGACAUAGCCAGUCUCACAGAGACCCUACCCAGCAGUACUGAAAGUGCCCAAUCCCAUAUUCCUCUUGAUGAAACUGCAUUGCAAUACCUUCCAAGUGUCCCUAUUUCCACGGACAGGCCUGGAAUUACAGAAGCCAUCCCGGUUUCUGAUUGGAUCUCAGAAUGUCCCGCUUUUCCUUUUUUCCUCUCCUCCACGUCUCGGAGAACAAUUAAAAGUGGUUUGUGUGUGUAGGUGCAAAAAUGGAGUCCUGUUUAUGCUGCAAAUAAAAUUCCCGCACCAAAUGAAGGAAAUGGUGAAGCUGACCGAUGAUUUUGAAGGAAAAUGUCACCCAUCCAAAUUUAAAUUAUUGAAUUGCAGGCAGCCAUUAAUUUUUUAAGGAAAUGCCUUUACUGCUUUUUCCUUUAUUGUAAAUGGAGCCUUACACUGUCUACUGAGAAGUUAAGUCCCACUGAAUGGAGCUUACUCACAGGUAACUGGGUAAAGACAGGGCAGCCUUGCACUGCAAUCCUAAGCAUUUUUACUCAGAACUAAGUCCCACUGAAGGGACGCGGGUGGUGCUGUGGUCUAAACCACAGAGCCUAGGGCGUGCCGAUAAGGAGGUCGGCGGUUCGAAUCCCUGUGACGGGGUGAGCUCCCAUUGCUCGGUCCCAGCUCCAGCCCACCUAGCAGUUCAAAAGCACAUCAAAGUGCAAGUUGAUAAAUAGGUACCGCUUCAACAGAAAGGUAAACGGCGUUUCCGUGUGCUGCUCUGGUUCGCCGGAAGCGGCUUAGUCAUGCCGGCCACAUGAUCCGGAAAAACUGUCUGCGGACAAACGCCGGCUCCCUUGGCCGGUAAAGCGAGAUGAGCACGCAACCCCAGAGUUGUCCACGACUGGACCUAAUGGUAAGGGGUACCUUUACUUUUACCUUUUAAGUGCCACUGAGUUCAAUAGGAUUUAGUCUCUGGUAUUUUCCUCAUCAUUCUCACAGUUUCCAUGAUUAUGAUUAUUAUAUCCCACCUUUUUCCUAACAGGCGUUAACGGAGAAAUCCGAGGGCUCCCUUGGACAAAAAGCAAAGACACCAAGCAGGAAUAUUAGAGCAAAACAGCAGCCAGUAGGCUUGGUCGCGACAGGACUCCAACUCACAAAACGAAGCAAGAUGGCAGCCUCGAACAAAAAAGCCCCAAAACUUUUAUUAGCUGCUAAUCCCCAUAUCACCCCCCCCCAAACUACAUCACUCAUACAUCAUGGUUACAUCAUGAAAGGGGAGGUCUGGUGGCAGUAAUCUGAGCAUCCUGGACCCUGCCCCAUGGUUCUCCUUGCCCUCCACCAAACACCCAUCAAGUGUAACAAAAGACAUAUUUACAUUUCCCUGUUUCCCAGC
rnacentral:lncRNA from 1 species